rnacentral:lncRNA from 1 species
GCCCUGGGUCAGGGCGAGUGCAGCCACCCGCAGACAGCAAGUUGGCUCCAUGGCCCCAGAAGCGAAGCCCUGCUGGUAUUUUCGCCACUCCUUGCUAUGCCCUUUAUAUACAUUACCUCGGGCUCUUGCCCAGGUCACAAGGGCCGGAACUAGGACUCAAAGCCAGGGAACACUGCAAAGCCAGCCACCCAGCAGCUCUGCCUGGCAAGUUACCGCAAACAGCAGAUGGCUCUGAACAAUCUGAACGCAGGCCCCCCUCUCCUUACAGCCGGCACCCCAGCCCACCCCCGUCUACAAAAAAGACUUCUUUCGUGGACAGGCUGAGAAUCAUCGUCACCACCAUCACCCUGUAUCUAAUCCCAAGACGGCUCUCCAGGGCUGCAGAAACUUUCUUCCCACGCUGCCUGCCAGCGCCCCCGACCCCACCCCGUUUCCUGUAACUUCUCCUAGAUAUAGCCCAGCUGGGUCUUCUCAUCAUAAUGCAAAUGACCCAAGGUCUUAAGCCCGUCAGCGUGGAAGGGAACCUCCAGCAGAAACCGGCCACUCCAAAACAGAGAAAGACGACAGCCAGAGCCAUGACCCAGCACAGCUCAUGCAAACACUAGGAUCCAUAAGAAAGUGCUGGACCUUCAAGGAGAGGAGAAACAGGUACUCCCUCAGGCUCCAGUCCAUUCAUUUCUUCACUACUUCAUUCAUUCAACAAAAACUGAUUAAAUUACCGGGUUCAAGGCUGCGUCCCUAUAAUCAAUGGUACAAAUAUAACAACCCACAGAAUUAGGAUGUAGAUACACACAGACACAUGUAUGUGUAUACACAGAUUUUAUUAUUCAUGUGUGUGGGUUGUGAGAGCUAUUCCAAGAAUAAUCUGAAAAUCAUUGGUAUCAGGCUUUGAAAUGCAUCGAUGCUUUUUAAUACAUUUACCUCCUUGGUGAUGUUUG